rnacentral:rRNA from 1 species
GUAGGGUGCAGGCGUUAAUCGGAAUUACUGGGCGUAAAGCGUGCGCAGGCGGUUUGCUAAGACAGGUGUGAAAUCCCCGGGCUUAACCUGGGAACUGCGCUUGUAACUGGCAAGCUAGAGUGUGGCAGAGGGGGGUGGAAUUCCACGUGUAGCAGUGAAAUGCGUAGAGAUGUGGAGGAACACCGAUGGCGAAGGCAGCCCCCUGGGCUAACACUGACGCUCAUGCACGAAAGCGUGGGGAGCAAACAGGAUUAGAUACCCUGGUAGUCCACGCCCUAAACUAUGUCAACUGGUUGUCGGGGAAGCAAUUCCUUGGUAACGAAGCUAACGCGUGAAGUUGACCGCCUGGGGAGUACGGCCGCAAGGUUA